UGGAUAACCUGCCCUGGUAUCUGGGAUAACAUCUCGAAAGGGGUGCUAAUACCGGAUAAGCCUCCGGGAUCUUCGGAUUCUGCAGGAAAAGAAGGCCUCUAUUUAAAAGCUUUCGUAUCAGGAUGGGUCCGCGUACCAUUAGCUAGUUGGUGGGGUAAUGGCCUACCAAGGCGACGAUGGUUAGCUGGUCUGAGAGGAUGAUCAGCCACACGUGGAACUGAGACNCGGUCCAGACCU
rnacentral:rRNA from 1 species